UACGGGGGGGGCAAGCGUUGUCCGGAAUCACUGGGCGUAAAGCGCACGUAGGCGGCUUUCUAAGUCAGGGGUGAAAUCCUGGAGCUCAACUCCAGAACUGCCUUUGAUACUGAGGAUCUUGAGUCCGGGAGAGGUGAGUGGAACUGCGAGUGUAGAGGUGAAAUUCGUAGAUAUUCGCAAGAACACCAGUGGCGAAGGCGGCUCACUGGCCCGGUACUGACGCUGAGGCACGAAAGCGUGGGGAGCAAACAGG
rnacentral:rRNA from 1 species